GAAUGGGAAAUUUUAUAUUUUUGAUACCCUAAAUAUAACAUUUUGAGGGUAUAUUAGCUACGCAGCAGAGAGUUCGUAUCAGAAGAGCUAAUUGACCUUCCAAAUGUCACCUUAACAGGUAGCUAUCCAUCAGCAAUGACAUUUUGUUGAUUAAUUAUAGCAAAAAUACAAGAUUUGGGUUGGCUUUGCGCAUCAUAUAGGCAUUCAUUUAUGUAUUAAGCGAUGAUGUGAAAAUUCCUUAAGCCAGGCAAUGUUCUAGUGUAGUCCGGAGGAUUGUGGAAUGUGCCACGUGGCCAUGUGUUUGUCAGAAGUAACACGACAAUUGUGGACUUGUGACGCGACUCUCUGCUGACAUCUCGGGCACAGUUCCGUUUCCGUUUUGGGGAGCGAUUUUUUGUGUUGUUUCCAGCGCGCUGGAAUUAAUUUAGCGUGCGCUGAGCCAACAAGAAACAAAUGAUUUUUUGUUGGUUUCGCC
rnacentral:lncRNA from 1 species